rnacentral:rRNA from 1 species
UCUGGGAUUAGAUACCCUGUUAUUUAAAAUGUAAUUAUAAAAUACUUGAGUAUUAAUAGUUAUGGUCUUUAAACUUAAAAAAUUUGGCGGUAUUUUAGUCUAUUCAGAGGAACUUGUUUUAUAAUCGAUAAUCCGCGAUGUACCUCACUUAAAUUUGUUUAUCAAUUUAUAUACCGUCGUUAUAGAAUAUUUUAUAAGAAAAAUAAUUUUCAAUAAUUAAUAUAAAUAAUAUAUGUCAGAUCAAGGUGUAGUUUAUAUUUAAGUAAUAAUGAGUUACAAUAAAUUUAUUUUUGGAUAUAGAAAUGAAAAAUCUGUUGAAAUUGGAUUUGAAAGUAAAAUUAAAGAGAUUAUUAAUUUGAUUAUAGCUCUAAAAUAUGUACAAAUCGCCCGUCACUCUCU